rnacentral:rRNA from 1 species
UACGGGGGGAGCAAGCGUUGUUCGGAUUUACUGGGCGUAAAGGGCGCGUAGGCGGCCACUGCAAGUCGGUUGUGAAAUCUCCGGGCUUAACCCGGAAAGGUCAAUCGAUACUGCAGGGCUAGAGUGCAGAAGGGGCAACUGGAAUUCUCGGUGUAGCGGUGAAAUGCGUAGAUAUCGAGAGGAACACCUGCGGCGAAGGCGGGUUGCUGGGCUGACACUGACGCUGAUGCGCGAAAGCUAGGGGAGCAAACGGG